CAUGAUCUCACAAAAGGCUUAAUUUUUAGCCAGAACACAGUGUUCUCCUGCCAUCCAGUGAGAGCAGCAAGGGGAGCUGAAAAAAGCCAGGAACACUUUGUCAAGACUACUACACUACACCUCAGCACAGCAACAAGUCAACAUCUUGUUUGAGUUUAGCCCUCAGCUGCUGAUGGCACACUGUACAGAGAUCUGCUCCUGCUGGGUUUUUACAACUUUAUUGGAAGGUCUCACGAAAGACUGCCUAACUCCAGAUUAUGUAACCUCUGCUUUUCACCAAGUAGGUAUGCAGUAGUCUCCAAGUCCAAACUGAG